ACCAAUUCUAGUGAGUUAUCCGUUUCACUAGAUCAAUGGCUUGGACGCCAAAUUGACAUUGUGGCCAUUCUGAUCUGUGGAUUUUCAAUGCCAUUUGAUCCGGGAAACUCCAUAGACAUCU